GCCGUGCAGCAGCGUCGAGUGUCCCGCAGACAGGAAGCGGGUCGUGUUUAGCUUGUCCCGUACGAGUGACUCUGUCUUCGGGGUAAAUAACUUGCUGAAGUCGACACGACACUGUUCCCUGGAGGAGAAGAUGAGUGCGUGUGGAGGCAGAGCCGCGGGCCCGGUGUGGACGAGUCGAGGCGGAGAAGACGGAAGCACAGUCCCUGAGUUACGCCUCAGCCCCCCCCCCCUCCACACACACACACACACACACACAAACAAAGAGGCGUUAGGCUGAGACGCUGAAAGUCCGGAUUUAAAGUGCAGAAAAUUAAGCCAUUGAAUCUGCCUGUCCAUGACGUACAAAGACACACUAUGAGCCAGUAUGAUCCGACCAGACCUUACAUCAGCAUUGAGGAGUUGUCGGAGAAGAAAGAGGCUGAUUGAAGCGGGACAGAUGACAUGGAUCCAUCCUUCCACAGCCAGGAGCGCACCGACCUGUGUCCCACACUUCAUAUAAGACUGGAAGCUACACUGAUCUCACAGCUACACACCACAGACGUCUACACACUGGAGAAGAGUCCCACAAAGAAGUCAUGACCCAGAGGCUGCAGAGAAACAUUUCAAGCCUCAUCUGAGUUUUUGUACAAUAUUUUUGCUGUAUGUAAAUAAAGCUUUCACUCCACAUACCUUGUUCA